GACUGGUCAUAGUGCAGCAGUUUUUACAAUGAAUUGAUCACAAACAGUUACAAAUUUAUUUGUUCUUUCCCCAGUACCACUGUUCCACUUGACUAGCCAAUA
ensembl:misc_RNA Y_RNA Y RNA